AAGGAUCAUUACAGAGAACUUCGCCCUCACGGGUGACUCUCCAACCCUAUGUUAUCAUACCUUUGUUGCUUUGGCGAGCCGCUUCGGCCACCGGCUCCUGCUGGUGAGUGCUCGCCAGAGGACCCUAAACUCUUGAAUUUAUUAUUGUCCGAGUACUAUAUAAAAGUUAAAACUUUCAACAACGGAUCUCUUGGUUCUG
rnacentral:misc_RNA from 1 species